UACGUAGGGUGCAAGCGUUACUCGGAAUUACUGGGCGUAAAGCGUGCGCAGGCGGCUUUGCAAGUCAGAUGUGAAAUCCUCGGGCUUAACCUGGGAACUGCAUUUGUGACUGCAUGGCUGGAGUGCGGCAGAGGGGGAUGGAAUUCCGCGUGUAGCAGUGAAAUGCGUAGAUAUGCGGAGGAACACCGAUGGCGAAGGCAAGCCCCUGGGCCUGCACUGACGCUCAUGCACGAAAGCGUGGGGAGCAAACAGG
rnacentral:rRNA from 1 species